UGGAGGCCAGUGCUAUGGGGACACUGGAUGUGGUGCUGGAGUCAGGGGUCAGGCUGAUUUGCCACAUGGUGACAGCUCGGGACAGCAGUUUGGGUAGGGUCCCAGCAGUGUGCUCCGUGGACUUCACGUGGGUUUCUCAAACACUCUAGGGGUACUGGGAUGCUGUCAGGAGCACAAGGAGAGGAGUGGCAGCCUCUGCUCAGGAUGGUUGGAGAAGGCUUCUUAAGAGGCAUCAAGGGAAGGCAAUGUGAGGACAUGAAGGCAGCUAUCUGGAAACCAGGUAGAAAAUCCUCACCAAAAACCAAAUUGGCCAGAACAUCUGGACUUCUAAAACUCUGAGAAAAUAAAUUUCUGUUGUUU